AUACGGAGGAUGCGAGCGUUAUCCGGAUUUAUUGGGUUUAAAGGGAGCGUAGGUGGGCUAUUAAGUCAGCGGUUAAAUCGUGGGGCUCAACCCCAUUCUGCCGUUGAUACUGGGUGGCUUGAUUGCGGUCGAGGUUGGCGGAAUUCGUUGUGUAGCGGUGAAAUGCAUAGAUAUGACGAAGAACACCGAUUGCGUAGGCAGCUGGCCAGAUCGCAAAGGACUCUCAUGCACGAAAGUGCGGGGAUCGAACAGCAUUAGAUACCCUGGUAGUCCGCACAGUAAACGAUGAAUACUUGUUUUCGGCGAUAUAAUGUCGGAGGCAAAGCGAAAGCGAUAAGUAUUCCACCUGGGGAGUACGCCGGCAACGGUGAAACUCAAAUGAAUUGGCGGGG
rnacentral:rRNA from 1 species